rnacentral:lncRNA from 1 species
AAAGGUGUUGUGGCGGAUUUGUGAAGGUGACGAUGGUUGUUUACGUUUUGAGGGAGAUGAACGGCGGAGAUGGGUUUUGACGGUGAGGUGGAGGGAUUGAAGAAAAGGAACAGUGAUUCCUCCUUUUCCUUUUCUCUUUUUUUUCUUUUUUUCUUUCUGUUGCCACGCGGAGUGAGAGAGACGCCUCAGAUUCCGUGAGUGAGAGUGCAG